UAACUGCGAGUGAAGCGGGAAAAGCUCAAAUUUAAAAUCUGACAAAAAAGUCAUUCGACUGUCCGAAUUGUAAUCUAGAGAAGUGCUUUCCGUGUUGGACCAUGUACAAGUCUCUUGGAACAGAGCUUCAUAGAGGGUGAGAAUCCCGUCUUUGACAUGGACUACCAAUGCUUUUGUGAUGCGCUCUCAAAGAGUCGAGUUGUUUGGGAAUGCAGCUCAAAAUGGGUGGUAAAUUCCAUCUAAAGCUAAAUAUUGGCGAGAGACCGAUAGCGAACAAGUACCGUGAGGGAAAGAUGAAAAGAACUUUGGAAAGAGAGUUAAACAGUACGUGAAAUUGUUGAAAGGGAAACGCUUGAAGUCAGUCACAUUGAUCAGGAAUCAGCCCUUUUAAAAGGUGUACUUCCUGGUUUUAAUGGGUCAGCAUCAAUUUUGAUUGUUGGAUAAAAGUCAAUAUUUAUGUGUCUUCGGAUGUAUAGCCUUUGGUUGUAUACAACAGUUGGGAUUGAGGAACUCAGCAUGCCUUUUUGGCCAGGUCUAUUACAGAUCAUGUUACAUGCUUAGGAUGCUGGCAUAAUGGCUUUAAUCGACCCGUCUUGAAACACGGACCAAGGAGUCUAACAUGCCCGCGAGUGUUUGGGUGGUAAACCCAAGCGCGUAAUGAAAGUGAAAAGUUGAGAUCCUUGUCAUGGGGAGCAUCGACGCCCGGACCAGACCUUUUGUGACGGAUCCGCGGUAGAGCGUGUAUGUUGGGACCCGAAAGAUGGUGAACUAUGCCUGAAUAGGGUGAAGCCAGAGGAAACUCUGGUGGAGGCUCGUAGCGAUUCUGA
rnacentral:rRNA from 1 species